rnacentral:lncRNA from 1 species
UGGUGUGAGUGGUUCUUUGAUCUGCGAUGUCAUCAACUAUUCACAGCGAGGCUACUGAGUUUGACUGCAUAUAUUUUUGAUCCCUAGCCAUUCGGAUCCUUGAUAUGUAUGUUGGUUACAGUAGGUUUAAUUUGCUAUUUAGAGUAGGAUGUACCUACAUAAAAUCUAUCGAUCUUGGUAGAAAAGGAGAAGUCCUAUGUGAUUCGUGAGAUUGAGUUCAAAAAAUCUUUGACCAAAGUAAAUGAGAAUAAUAGAAAAGAG